rnacentral:rRNA from 1 species
GGGCCGUGUCUCANUCCCAGGGGGGGCGGUCCCCCUCUCAGGGCGGCUACCCGUCGUCGCCUUGGUAGGCCAUUACCCCACCAACAAGCUGAUAGGCCGCGGGCUCAUCCUUCACCGCCGGAGCUUUUAACCCCCUCCCAUGCGGGACAGAGUGUUAUCCGGUAUUAAACCCCGUUUCCAGGGCUUGUCCCAAAAUGAAGGGCAAAUUGCCCACGUGUUACUCACCCGUUCGCCACUAAUCCACCCCGAAAGGCUUCAUCUUUCGACUUGCAUGUGUUAAGCACGCCGCCAGCGUUCUUCCUGAGCCAGGAUCAAA